UAGCCUACGGGGGGCAGCAGUGGGGAAUAUUGCACAAUGGGGGGAACCCUGAUGCAGCGACGCCGCGUGAGUGAAGAAGUAUUUCGGUAUGUAAAGCUCUAUCAGCAGGGAAGAAAAUGACGGUACCUGACUAAGAAGCCCCGGCUAACUACGUGCCAGCAGCCGCGGUAAUAUGUAGGGGGCAAGCGUUAUCCGGAUUUACUGGGUGUAAAGGGAGCGUAGACGGCAGAGCAAGUCUGAAGUGGAAGCCCGCGGCCCAACCGCGGAACUGCUUUGGGAACUGUUUUGCUGGAGUAUGGGAGGGG
rnacentral:rRNA from 1 species